GUUGUCACAUCAGCUGUACUCUUAAUAGUCCUCAGGCAGAAUCAUUUCUACACGGAAUCCGCAACAUGAAAAGGAUGGAGAGUUGGCUUCACUGUUGGCUGGUCUUGUCUUUGGUGUCUCAAAACGUUACCUGGCAGAAUCCGGGUUGCAAUAAGGGUUCAGGUCAGGGUUUAGAUCAAGAUCAAAUGUAUACACAGGCAAUGGAGGGAGGGUAACCAUUUUUUUGCAUGAUCCUAAAAACACCACAUGGUGUGUUAAUAACGUGAUGAACAACAGAUCCAAAGUCGAACAUAAUCGAAAAGCGAUUAAGAACAUUGCGCAGGUUCUCGAGGACACAGAGGUGACUGGGUCUACAUUCCUGUCUUUCAACAACUCGGUGGCCUUCCUGCACAAACCAAAGGGCCCAUUCAACGGCAUUGAGCUUUAUGCUAGUGAUAAUG